rnacentral:tRNA from 1 species
GCCGGAGUAGCUCAACGGCAGAGCAACGCUUUUGUAAAGCGUAGGUUGUCGGUUCAAGUCCGACCUCCGGCU